rnacentral:lncRNA from 1 species
GUCACAACACAGCACUACUUGAAUGUUGAAGCCGAGAAUUCUAUUCUAAGGGCACAAAUGAUGGAACUGAACCAUAGACUUGAUUCUCUUAACGAGAUCCUCAACUAUAUCAACACGAGUAAUGGGAUUUUUGAAAAUGAUCAUCACGAGGAUCUCCCUGAUCAUAGCUUCAUGAAUCCAUCAAAUCUGUUCUAUCUUAACCAGCCCAUCAUGGCAUCCCCAGAUUUGUUUCAGUAUUGAUCACCAUCACCAUCCCCACCAUCCCCAUGGGUUGGGAAUUGGUCAAUCCAAGGCUGUCUUGUUCAGGCGCAAUAAGUGGAGUGGAAAAGGGAGGGCCUUUCUUUUUUAUGUUGAAUAUUAGUUUAACUAGGACCUAGAAUGAAGUAAUAUUAUGAUUAAUGAGAGUGGUGCAUUGAGCUAAAAAAAAAAUGCACCUAGAACAGGGGAAAUUGAUUGGUAUUUUCAUAUUCUGGCAAUUUGGCUUGUAAGUUGUAAUUUGUCGCUAUAAAUAUGGUGUGCAAGGCCCUGGAUGUGUGUCAUAAUGUCCUGUCUCUUCUGAACGGUAAAUUAAUGAUAUUAUUUCUAAUAAUUGGUGUGGGCUACAUCUGUUCAAUUCAUUCUUCUCAACUCUCAAGAACAAUGAGCUUUCAAUAUUUUCUCUUGGUUUGAUUGUCCAUGUGUGUUAAUAAAAACACUUGCCAAGGUUGUAUCUG